UACAGAGGUCUCAAGCGUUGUUCGGAUUUAUUGGGCGUAAAGGGCGCGUAGGCGGCGCGGUAAGUCGGGUGUGAAAUCUCGGAGCUUAACUCCGAAACUGCAUUCGAUACUGCCGUGCUUGAGGACUGGAGAGGAGGCUGGAAUUUACGGUGUAGCGGUGAAAUGCGUAGAUAUCGGAAGGAAGACCAGUGGCGAAGGCGGGUCUCUGGACAGUUCCUGACGCUGAGGCGCGAAAGUCAGGGGAGCAAACGGG
rnacentral:rRNA from 1 species